GCGGGGGUCGCGUAGCCAGGUCAAUCGCGUAGGCCUGAGGCGCCUAUGGCUUAGUGCCUCCGUGGGUUCAAAUCCCACCCCCCGCA
rnacentral:tRNA from 1 species